UACGAAGGGGGCUAGCGUGGCUCGGAAUCACUGGGCGUAAAGGGUGCGUAGGCGGGUUUUUAAGUCAGAGGUGAAAUCCUGGAGCUCAACUCCAGAACUGCCUUUGAUACUGAGAAUCUUGAGUAUGGGAGAGGUGAGUGGAACUGCGAGUGUAGAGGUGAAAUUCGUAGAUAUUCGCAAGAACACCAGUGGCGAAGGCGGCUCACUGGCCCGGUACUGACGCUGAGGUGCGAAAGCGUGGGGAGCAAACAGG
rnacentral:rRNA from 1 species